GACGAACGCUGGCGGCGUGCUUAACACAUGCAAGUCGAACGGAAAGGCCUCUUUCGGGGGGUACUCGAGUGGCGAACGGGUGAGUAACACGUGAGUAACCUGCCCUUGACUUUGGGAUAACUUCAGGAAACUGGGGCUAAUACCGGAUAGGAGCUCCUGCUGCAUGGUGGGGGUUGGAAAGUUUCGGCGGUUGGGGAUGGACUCGCGGCUUAUCAGCUUGUUGGUGGGGUAGUGGCUUACCAAGGCUUUGACGGGUAGCCGGCCUGAGAGGGUGACCGGCCACAAUGGGACUGGGAAACGGCCCAGACUCCUACGGGGGGCAAGAGGGGGGAAUAUUGCACAAUGGGUGGAAGCCUGAUGGCGCAAAGCCGUGGGGGGGAUGGCGGGCUUCGGGUUGUAAACCGCUUUCGCUCAUGACGAAGCUUUGUGUGACGGUAGUGGGUAAAGAAGCACCGGCUAACUACGUG
rnacentral:rRNA from 1 species